GUGUCAGCCGCCGCGGUAAGACGGAGGGGGCUAGCGUUGUUCGGAAUUACUGGGCGUAAAGCGUGCGUAGGCGGCCUUUCAAGUUGGGUGUGAAAGCCCGGGGCUCAACCCCGGAAAUGCGCCCAAGACUGUUUGGCUAGAGACCCGGAGAGGUGAGUGGAACUCCCAGUGUAGAGGUGAAAUUCGUAGAUAUUGGGAAGAACACCAGUGGCGAAGGCGGCUCACUGGACGGGUACUGACGCUGAGGCACGAAAGCGUGGGGAGCAAACAGGAUUAGAUACCCUGGUAGUCCACGCCGUAAACUAUGAGAGCUAGACGUUGGGGGGCUUGCCCCCCUGUGUCGCAGCUAACGCGUGAAGCUCUCCGCCUGGGGAGUACGGCCGCAAGGUUAAA
rnacentral:rRNA from 1 species